rnacentral:rRNA from 1 species
GACGAACGCUGGCGGCGUGCCUAAUACAUGCAAGUCGAACGGUUUAGUUCCAAGAGGCUUGCCUUUUGGAACUAGACAGUGGCGGACGGGUGAGUAACACGUAGGCAACCUACCUGUCAAACCGGGAUAACCUCGGGAAACCGAAGCUAAACCCGGAUAAGCUCCUUUUUCGCAUGAAGGGGGAGUGAAAAGGUGCGACCUGAUGACAGAUGGGCCUGCGGCGCAUUAGCUAGUAGGUAGGGUAACGGCCUACCUAGGCGAUGAUGCGUAGCCGACCUGAGAGGGCGUACGGCCACACUGGGACUGAGAUACGGCCCAGACUCCUACGGGAGGCAGCAGUAGGGAAUCUUCGGCAAUGGGCGAAAGCCUGACCGAGCAACGCCGCGUGAGUGAGGAAGGCCUUCGGGUUGCAAAACUCUGUUGUUUGGGAAGAAGGGAAAGGGUAGGACCCUUAGGUGACGGUACCAAACGAGAAAGCCCCGGCUAACUACGUG